rnacentral:rRNA from 1 species
CCUACGGGGAGUAGCAGUAGGGAAUAUUGCUCAAUGGGGGAAACCCUGAAGCAGCAACGCCGCGUGGAGGAUGAAGGUUUUAGGAUUGUAAACUCCUUUUGUGAGAGAAGAUAAUGACGGUAUCUAACGAAUAAGCACCGGCUAACUCCGUGCCAGCAGCCGCGGUAAUACGGAGGGUGCAAGCGUUACUCGGAGUCACUGGGCGUAAAGAGUGCGCAGGGGGGCUUGUAAGUCAGAUGUGAAAGCCUGUAGCUUAACUACAGAACUGCAUUUGAAACUAUGAGUCUAGGGUGUGGGAGAGGUAGGUGGAAUUCUUGGUGUAGGGGUAAACUCCGUAGAUAUCAAGAGGAAUACUCAUUGCGAAGGCGACCUACUGGAACAUUACUGACGCUCAUGCACGAAAGCGUGGGGAGCAAACAGGAUUAGAUACCCUUGUAGUC